GGAUAUGAGGGCGAUCUGGCUCUCAUGCCUGUCACCCCACUGAUCACCAGCGUUGAUUCGGCUGGUCUGCUGGCUAGCCCAGUAACCCCUUCCCUGCCACGCUCCAUGUGCAUCCCUCCUGAAGCUGCGUGUUUGGUCGAAGAGAAUGACCGUCCCCGGUAGAGGACUGGUCUUUGGUCAGGGGACAUGAGUAGUUGCACUCCCCUGCUAGAGUCUCCAGACAGGCUUUCACGGUCCAUUUGUAGGAGAAUAUAGGGUUGUCAAGCUUCCAAGUCUCCAGACACAUCCAAACGAGGUGCUGCAUGUGGCAGUCUACCUUUCUUA
rnacentral:snRNA from 1 species